rnacentral:rRNA from 1 species
AUUGAACGCUGGCGGCAGGCCUAACACAUGCAAGUCGAACGGUAACAGGAAGAAGCUUGCUUCUUUGCUGACGAGUGGCGGACGGGUGAGUAAUGUCUGGGAAACUGCCUGAUGGAGGGGGAUAACUACUGGAAACGGUAGCUAAUACCGCAUAACGUCGCAAGACCAAAGAGGGGGACCUUCGGGCCUCUUGCCAUCGGAUGUGCCCAGAUGGGAUUAGCUAGUAGGUGGGGUAACGGCUCACCUAGGCGACGAUCCCUAGCUGGUCUGAGAGGAUGACCAGCCACACUGGAACUGAGACACAGUCCAGACUCCUACGGGAGGCAGCAGUGGGGAAUAUUGCACAAUGGGCGCAAGCCUGAUGCAGCCAUGCCGCGUGUAUGAAGAAGGCCUUCGGGUUGUAAAGUACUUUCAGCGGGGAGGAAGGGAGUAAAGUUAAUACCUUUGCUCAUUGACGUUACCCGCAGAAGAAGCACCGGCUAACUCCGUG